rnacentral:rRNA from 1 species
AGUGAACGCUGGCGGUAGGCCUAACACAUGCAAGUCGAACGGCAGCACAGUAAGAGCUUGCUCUUACGGGUGGCGAGUGGCGGACGGGUGAGGAAUACAUCGGAAUCUACUUUUUCGUGGGGGAUAACGUAGGGAAACUUACGCUGAUACCGCAUACGACCUACGGGUGAAAGCAGGGGAUCUUCGCACCUUGCGCGAUUGAUUGAGCCGAUGUCGGAUUAGCUAGUUGGCGGGGUAAAGGCCCACCAAGGCGACGAUCCGUAGCUGGUCUGAGAGGAUGAUCAGCCACACUGGAACUGAGACACGGUCCAGACUCCUACGGGGGGCAGCAGUGGGGAAUAUUGGACAAUGGGCGCAAGCCUGAUCCAGCCAUACCGCGUGGGUGAUGAAGGCCUUCGGGUUGUAAAGCCCUUUUGUUGGGAGAGAAAAGCAGCAGGUUAAUACCCCGCUGUUCUGACGGUACCCAAAGAAUAAGCACCGGCUAACUUCGUG